rnacentral:rRNA from 1 species
AGUGAACGCUGGCGGUAGGCCUAACACAUGCAAGUCGAACGGCAGCACAGUAAGAGCUUGCUCUUACGGGUGGCGAGUGGCGGACGGGUGCGGAAUACAUCGGAAUCUACUUUUUCGUGGGGGAUAACGUAGGGAAACUUACGCUAAUACCGCAUACGACCUACGGGUGAAAGCAUGGGAUCUUCGGACCUUGCGCGAUUGAAUGAGCCGAUGUCGGAUUAGCUAGUUGGCGGGGUAAAGGCCCACCAAGGCGACGAUCCGUAGCUGGUCUGAGAGGAUGAUCAGCCACACUGGAACUGAGACACGGUCCAGACUCCUACGGGAGGCAGCAGUGGGGAAUAUUGGACAAUGGGCGCAAGCCUGAUCCAGCCAUGCCGCGUGGGUGAAGAAGGCCUUCGGGUUGUAAAGCCCUUUUGUUGGGAAAGAAAAGCAGCAGGUUAAUACCCCGCUGUUCUGACGGUACCCAAAGAAUAAGCACCGGCUAACUUCGUG